rnacentral:rRNA from 1 species
UACGUAGGGCGCAAGCGUUAUCCGGAAUUAUUGGGCGUAAAGAGCUCGUAGGCGGUUUGUCGCGUCUGCCGUGAAAGUCCGGGGCUCAACUCCGGAUCUGCGGUGGGUACGGGCAGACUAGAGUGAUGUAGGGGAGACUGGAAUUCCUGGUGUAGCGGUGAAAUGCGCAGAUAUCAGGAGGAACACCGAUGGCGAAGGCGGGUCUCUGGGCCAUAACUGACGCUGAGGAGCGAAAGCGUGGGGAGCGAACAGG